UACGGAGGGGGCUAGCGUUGUUCGGAAUUACUGGGCGUAAAGCGCACGUAGGCGGCUUUGUAAGUUAGAGGUGAAAGCCCAGGGCUUAACCCUGGAAUUGCCUUUAAGACUGCAUCGCUAGAAUCGUGGAGAGGUGAGUGGAAUUCCGAGUGUAGAGGUGAAAUUCGUAGAUAUUAGGAAGAACACCAGUGGCGAAGGCGGCCAACUGGCCCGAUACUGACGCUCAUGUGCGAAAGCGUGGGGAGCAAACAGG
rnacentral:rRNA from 1 species